rnacentral:rRNA from 1 species
AGGGCACCACCAGGAGUGGAGCCUGCGGCUUAAUUUGACUCAACACGGGAAAACUCACCCGGCCCGGACACCGUAAGGAUUGACAGAUUGAGAGCUCUUUCUUAAUUCGGUGGGUGGUGGUGCAUGGCCGUUCUUAGUUGGUGGAGCGAUUUGUCUGGUUAAUUCCGAUAACGAACGAGACUCUGGCCUAUUAAAUAGACGAGAUAUUAAAAAGUAUAUCGCACUUCUUAGAGGGACAAGCGGCGUCUAGUCGCGUGAAAAAGAGCAAUAACAGGUCUGUGAUGCCCUUAGAUGUCCGGGGCUGCACGCGCGCUACACUGAAAGAAUCAGUGUGCGUUUUACCUAGUUCGGAAGAACCGGGUAACCCAAGUAAAUUCUUUCGUGCUUGGGAUAGGGAAUUGCAAUUAUUUCCCUUAAACGAGGAAUUCCCGGUAAAUGCGGGUCAUAAGCUCGCGUUGAUUACGUCCCUGCCCUUUGUACACACCGCCCGUCGCUACUACCGAUUGGAUGACUUAGUGA